GUCCAGGGAUGGGAAUCGAACCCACAGUGUUCCGCUUACCGGACAGAUGCCAUGUCCACUAAGCUACCCUGGA
rnacentral:tRNA from 1 species